rnacentral:rRNA from 1 species
GACGUAGGGCGCGAGCGUUGUCCGGAUUUAUUGGGCGUAAAGAGCUCGUAGGCGGCUUGUCGCGUCGUCCGUGAAAACCUGCAGCUCAACUGCAGGCUUGCGGUCGAUACGGGCAGGCUCGAGUUCGGUAGGGGAGACUGGAAUUUACGGUGUAGCAGUGAAAUGCGUAGAGAUCGUAAGGAAGACCAGUGGCGAAGGCGAGUUUCUGGACGGUAACUGACGCUGAGGCACGAAGGCCAGGGGAGCAAACGGG